ACUGGGGCCAUCACGGCAUCAGCAGAUUCCGUGCCUGAUAGCCACAUCCAUCAUGCUGCGCAAAAUCCUCUUUCACUCCCCUCAGAUGAUCAAGAAGUCCAGAACAACUGAAAUGGCUCUGGAAAGCUUGAAGCAGCAGCUGGUGGACCUUCAUCAUUCUGAAUCACUUCAACGAGCUAGAGAACAGCAUGAGAGCAUUGUUAUGGGCCUCACAAAGAAGUACGAAGAGCAAGUAUUGUCCUUACAAAAGAAUUUGGAUGCCACAGUCACCGCACUUAAAGAACAGGAAGACAUUUGCUCUCGUCUGAAAGAUCACGUGAAACAACUGGAAAGGAAUCAAGAAGCAAUCAAGUUAGAAAAGACUGAGAUCAUUAAUAGGUUGACAAGAAGUCUAGAGGAGAGUCAAAAGCAGUGUGCCCACUUG
rnacentral:sRNA from 1 species